AACGCACAUUGCGCCCGCCAGUACUCUGGCGGGCAUGCCUGUCCGAGCGUCAUUUCAACCCUCAGGUCCCCCUUCCGGGGGGGAGCUGGUGUUGGGGAUCGGCCGUCCCUCGCGGCGGCCGGCCCUGAAAUUCAGUGGCGGCACCACCGCGACCUCCUCUGCGUAGUAGCGAUACCUCGCAGCUGGAUAGCGGAGGCGACCAGCCGUGAAACCCCCAUCUUUUACAAGGUUGACCUCGGAUCAGGUAGGAAUACCCGCUGAACUUAA
rnacentral:misc_RNA from 1 species